UGAGGUACGGAACCCUAAACAAUAAAUAGAUACAUUAAUAACGUCUAAAGUGAAGAAUUAAAACUGCCGCAUUUAAAGUUACACUAAUUUUAUAGAUAGGUACACAUCUCUUCCACUCUCGUGCAUAUUGUAUCUUUCGUCUUUUUCAUCAUCGAGAACGGAUUUUAUACGUCAUGCAAUAAGUUAGUCAUGAUAAAACCUGUAAUAAGUACCUACUGUAAAUAAUUGAAUCUCGUAAUAAAAGUUCAUCGAUGUAAAAGUUACUUUGCUAACAAAAUAAAUGAAGUUUGUUCAAAAAUGUAAAUUCUCACUCUUUUUGAUGCAGAUUUGACUGCUUUGUCAUUGUAAUUGGAUUCGGAGAGUUCCAAUUUUAUUUGAACAGCAGAAUA